UGUAGUUACUCUUUUCUAUUUUCUUUCCAAAAGGCAGUAUAGACUACAUUUCUAUAGAUCUGGAAGAAGCUGAUACAAGGGAAACCCUUUUAGGAGCAGGCCGAUUCAGCAACUCUUUCUGAAGAGGAAGAAAAGGGAGAUGCUACUGUUAGCACCAGUGUUGAUCUUAUGGAUACAAAUAUCACAAAUGAAUGGACAACAGAUAAAGCAUUUUCCUGAAUUCUCGCUUCUGCAAGAAGGGGAGAACUUUACCACAUACUGCAAUUCCUCAAGCACAUUUUACAACUUACAGUGGUAUAAGCAGAGCCCUGGGGGCAGUCCUGCCCUCUUGAUGAUAGUAGCUAAGGGUGGAGAAGUGAAGAUGGAGCAGAGACUGACAGGUCGGCUUGGAGAGUCCAAACAGCACAGCUCCCUGCACCUCACGGCUGCCCAGCUCUCAGAUGCAGGAACCUACUUCUGCGCUGGGCACAGUGCUCUGGAAGCACCUGCUGUCUGUCCUCAAACCUCACUGUGGGCUCCAGCGGUCGCUCCUCCUCAUCUCUCCUCAGAGCAGGGGCCAGAGAUAGCUGAUGUCAUGAUGUCUAUGAAGAAACUGAAGUUUUAAUUAAAAAAAAAAAAAACCAAAACCCAGACUCUGUGUCACUGAAGAAUUCUGUCAAACAUUAACUUGUACACAAUUUCUUGCAGAAAAUAUAAAGAAAAUAGUUCUUCACUGAUUUUAUGAUGCUAAUAUUACCCUGAUACCCAAAUCAGAAGACCAUAAAGAACCAAAAACUACAUGGAAAUAUCUUUUAUCUUGAAGAUAGACACAAAUUUCUGAAAAUAUUUUAGCAAGUAAAAUUCAUUGAUAUAUAAAAUGAAUAACAUACUGAGCACAAAUGUAAUUUCUUUCAAGGGUGCUGCUGCUGCUGCUGGUGCUAAGUCGCUUCAGUCGUGUCCGACUCUGUGAGACCCCAUAGACAGCAGCCCACUACGCUCCUCUAUCCCUGGGAUUCUC